rnacentral:lncRNA from 1 species
CAAUGGUGGCCAUUGUGAUGCUGGCUGGAUAUGUCUCCUUUAUGCAGACAGCUCUGUCUCUCAUUCAGUUCACCAGCUGCCCCUGGAGAUCCGAGUGAACUGCUCACCCCUCGAUUGUCCUUCUUAUCUGGAUGGGGGAGAAGGAUAACGAAUGCCUACUAGAUGAAGCAAUUAAUCUUUAGAAAAGGCUGGAGGGACCCCCUGCUCCAGCAGCUGUUGGUUCCCCAGGCUGCCCUCAAACAGCAGCUCUGAAAUGGCGACCAGUGUGGAAUCCAGUGUAUCGGGCACCAUGAAUGAGGAAAAGGAUGUGUUUGGGGGUGAAGCACUUGCCAAUGUCAGUGAUUAUCUGGGAAUUUCAGUCCAGCCUUGUUACCCGUUUGAGUGAACACUACAGGAGGUUCAAAAGGUUGGAGAGUGAGGGACUGAAAACACAGGACGGAGAAGUUUAGAAGGUUUACAGAGCACUGGAGAGAUCAAGGCAGAACUAUCCAUCUUAAAACAAGAACACCAGGCCCAAAAGAAGGGUGCAAGACAGACUCGACCUGGUAUACUAUAUAGUUUAGAGUGCUAAUUAGGUGCCUAAGCUGUAUCACUCAGAAAAGAAUGAACUGAUUCUCUGCCUUUCAAAUUUCCUUAAUGAUGCAAUAACAAAUAAACUUCAAGAGUAAAACUACA